UACGUAGGGUGCGAGCGUUAAUCGGAAUUACUGGGCGUAAAGCGUGCGCAGGCGGUCUGUUAAGACCGAUGUGAAAUCCCCGGGCUUAACCUGGGAACUGCAUUGGUGACUGGCAGGCUUUGAGUGUGGCAGAGGGGGGGUAGGAAUUCCACGUGUAGCAGUGAAAUGCGUAGAGAUGUGGAGGAACACCGAUGGCGAAGGCAGCCCCCCUGGGUCAAGAUUGACGCUCAUGCACGAAAGCGUGGGGAGCAAACAGG
rnacentral:rRNA from 1 species